GGCAAAUGUUGACAAGAACUUGCCUAUCAACCACGGAGUAGAGACCAGCUUGAGACUCAAGAGACCUUCCACUCCGAUAUUCUUAACUGGCCUUCAGACUCUAUCAUCCAGUGAGUACAAGAGAGACUUCAGUCUGUCUCAGGUAAGAUUAUCUUUUGUUUUCUUCUCCUAAGUAAGAGCAGUUUCGAGAUAAAGAUGAGAUUGAGCUUAUUCUCCAGUAACUCUGACCUGUUGCCUUGAGUACCACUCUCAGGUUCCCAGAUGGUUUUUAUGUGUUCACUGGUUUGGGGUGCCUUUUCUCUGAUUGGGUUCCUCUCUUGUGCUCUCUCCAGUGCUAGUGAUUCCUUUGGGUGGGGUCACAUAUCAGCUAUCCUGCACAUCAGAUAUUUACAUUAUGAUUCAUAACCAUAGCAAAAUGACAGUUAUGAGGCAGCAAUGAAAAUAAUUUUAUGGUUGGGGGUCACCACAACAUGAGGAACUUAAGGGCCACAGCAAUAGGAAGGUUGAGAACCACUGUUUUAGAAGAAAGAGCUGAGGAAACAUUUGUGGACGAACUUGCCUCAGUACUGUCUUUCUGUGUCUCAAAUCUAUGCCUUCAGAGAACCUUGAUGUCAUCUCAAAACUAUUGGUAGAACUGGUUUGUGCACAGUUCUUCAUACUUGUACCAGAAAUACACAUGCGA
rnacentral:lncRNA from 1 species